AGGUUACUGCUAUCGGUGUUCGCUUAAGCCAUGCGAGUCAUAUGUUCUUCGUGAACAUGGCGUACUGCUCAGUAACACGUGGAUAACCUGCCCUUGGGUCCGGCAUAACCCCGGGAAACUGGGGAUAAUUCCGGAUAACGCACGUAUGCUGGAAUGCUUUAUGCGUCAAAUGGAUUCGUCCGCCCAAGGAUGGGUCUGCGGCCUAUCAGGUAGUAGUGGGUGUAAUGUACCUACUAGCCUACGACGGGUACGGGUUGUGAGAGCAAGAGCCCGGAGAUGGAUUCUGAGACAUGAAUCCAGGCCCUACGGGGCGCAGCAGGCGCGAAAACUUUACAAUGCGGGAAACCGUGAUAAGGGGACACCGAGUGCCAGCAUCAUAUGCUGGCUGUCCGGGUGUGUAAAAUACACCUGUUAGCAAGGGCCGGGCAAGACCGGUGCCAGCCGCCGCGGUAACACCGGCGGCCCUAGUGGUGAUCGUGAUUAUUGGGUCUAAAGGGUCCGUAGCCGGUUUGGUCAGUCCUCCGGGAAAUCUGACGGCUUAACCGUUAGGCUUUCGGGGGAUACUGCCAGACUUGGAACCGGGAGAGGUAAGAGGUACUACAGGGGUAGGAGUGAAAUCUUGUAAUCCCUGUGGGACCACCUGUGGCGAAGGCGUCCUACCAGAACGGGUUCGACGGUGAGGGACGAAAGCUGGGGGCACGAACCGGAUUAGAUACCCGGGUAGUCCCAGCCGUAAACGAUGCUCGCUAGGUGUCAGGCAUGGCGCGACCGUGUCUGGUGCCGCAGGGAAGCCGUGAAGCGAGCCACCUGGGAAGUACGGCCGCAAGGCUGAAACUUAA
rnacentral:rRNA from 1 species